CCUACGGGGGGCAGCAGUGGGGAAUAUUGGACAAUGGGGGGAACCCUGAUCCAGCCAUGCCGCGUGUGUGAAGAAGGCCCUCGGGUUGUAAAGCACUUUCAGUGAGGAAGAACGCCUGGUGGUUAAUACCCAUCAGGAAAGACAUCACUCACAGAAGAAGCACCGGCUAACUCCGUGCCGGCAGCCGCGGUAAUACGGAGGGUGCGAGCGUUAAUCGGAAUUACUGGGCGUAAAGCGCGCGUAGGUGGCUUGAUAAGCCGGUUGUGAAAGCCCCGGGCUCAACCUGGGAACGGCAUCCGGAACUGUCAAGCUAGAGUGCAGGAGAGGAAGGUAGAAUUCCCGGUGUAGCGGUGAAAUGCGUAGAGAUCGGGAGGAAUACCAGUGGCGAAGGCGGCCUUCUGGACUGACACUGACACUGAGGUGCGAAAGCGUGGGUAGCAAACAGGAUUAGAUACCCCUGUAGUC
rnacentral:rRNA from 1 species